UCCUCACCACUACAUCUGUAUGUCUGCAUCUCAUUUCUUUUCUCUUUCUUUUCCUUUCCUUUUUUUUCUUUCUUGCUAUUUAUCUAUCUUUUGUUCCUCUCUUUGAUUUCUUUGCCAAAAAUGUUAUUUUGAGGGAAUCAAACCUGCACGUUUCCAUCCUUGAAAGACUUAAUUGUGAUUAAUUGUCCUAGCUUGAAGGUUGUACACCGAAAAGUUAAGAGAUCUAAAGACAAAGUUGUACAAGCCCUUUGAAGAAUAUGCAAGGAACACUUGUGCAUCAUCAAGUAUUUCUUCUCACUCAAUAAGUAAUUUGCCUAAGCAAACUGGAGGGGGAACUAAACCUAAAGGAUCAAAGAUCUUUAAUGAGUUCAAAAUGUUUCAAAAUGAAACAAUUUCUGUUGCUGGAAAGUUUGAGUUGGAUGUUUAUUUAGAUGAGGCAAAGCUUGAUCAUGAAGUAUUUGAAGACUUGGAUGUGCUUAGUUAUUAGAAGAAUAAUACUAAGCGCUUUCCUAAUCUUUCUAUUAUGGCACGAGAUGUAUUGAGCAUUUCGAUUACUACGGUAGCAUCAGAGUCUACUUUUAGUAUUGGUGGCCAUCAAGUUUAGAAGUUCCCUCCACCAUGAAAAUGUUCAAAUGCUUGUUUGCACGAAAGAUUGGUUGCAUGGCUUUUCUUUAGCUACUGAUGAUGACAAUGAUUCAGACCUUGAGACAUCAUUGCUGUCCAACCAAGAUUCAAAUGAUUUGCUUGAUGAUGAGGAUUGAGGAGGACAAAUCUUGAAGUUUCUAUUUAUUUGGUUGUGUACUUAUGUUGAUGGGAUUGUAAUUUAUGUUAAUGAUCGAAACUUUAUUUA